CACUCUGUCUGUGCCACAUUUCACUGUCUGUGAAGGUGUAAAUACCUCUAUGAUAAUAAAAGACUAGAAGACCCUAGAAAUUUUAUGUAAAGUGUAUUAUUUUUUUAUCCUUUUGUUUUGUUGGGGCAACAGCAUUUCACCUAUCCUAUUUUAAGUUAAACUUUUUAUUUUUAUAAAGACAGUUACUCUUAGGCUAGGGAUAUAAUUAUAUUAAUUUAAGAGUCUGCGACGUUGAUGUUGGAAUAGGGCUUUUUUUAUUCUUAAGAUUCAUUCUCAGGUUCUGUUCCAACACUUAUCCUUACUUGAUUGGAU
rnacentral:rRNA from 1 species